UUCGUAGGCGGUGCGGCAAGUUGGGAGUGAAAUCUCUGGGCUUAACUCAGAGGCUGCUUUCAAAACUGCCGUGCUCGAGUGCGGGAGAGGCCAGUGGAAUUGCAGGUGUAGCGGUGAAAUGCGUAGAUAUCUGCAGGAACACCCGUGGCGAAAGCGGCUGGCUGGACCGCAACUGACGCUGAGGAACGAAAGCUAGGGGAGCAAACAGGAUUAGAGACCCUGGUAGUCCUAGCCCUAAACGAUCAGGACUUGGGGUGCCCCGCGUAGGCGGGUCGUCUCGUAGCUAACGCGAUAAGUCCUGCGCCUGGGGAGUACGGUCGCAAGACUGAA
rnacentral:rRNA from 1 species